CGAUAAGCGUCGGGGAGGUGCGAAUACCCUUUGAUCCGACGAUUUCCGAAUGGGGCAACCCACCUUAGAUGACUAGAAAAUCUGUUUUGUUGGAGCAACGCUGGAUGGGUUUACACCCAUACAGACCGCUAGGUCGUCGGCCCAUGUGGGCCGCCCCCGCGGAGCGCCAGCAUUCCUCUGGAAUGCGUACGGCGCGUGAGCGAGAACAGCACAGCUUUCUAGUCAUCAUAAAUAAGGUAUCUAACCUUGAAUACAUAGGGGUUAGAAGCGAACCUGGGGAACUGAAACAUCUAAGUACCCAGAGGAAAGGACAUCAAACGAGACUCCGCUAGUAGUGGCGAGCGAACGCGGACCAGGCCAGUGGCUUUUGUGAAUAAAGUGGAACGAGUUGGAAAACUCGACCGAAGUGGGUGAUAGUCCCGUACACGUAGAAUAGCAGAAGUCCUUGAGUAGGGCGGGACACGUGAAAUCCUGUCUGAACAUGGGUCGACCACGAUCCAAGCCUAAGUACUCGUGCAUGACCGAUAGCGAACCAGUACCGUGAGGGAAAGGUGAAAAGCACCCCGACGAGGGGAGUGAAACAGUACCUGAAACCGGAUGCCUACAAACAGUUGGAGCCCAAGGUUUGUCCUGGGUGACAGCGUACCUUUUGUAUAAUGGGUCAGCGACUUAGUGUAUCGAGCAAGCUUAAGCCGGUAGGUGUAGGCGCAGCGAAAGCGAGUCUGAACAGGGCGUUCAGUUCGAUGCAUUAGACCCGAAACCAAGUGAUCUAGCCAUGAGCAGGUUGAAGGUACGGUAACACGUACUGGAGGACCGAACCCAUAUCUGUUGCAAUAGAUCGGGAUGACUUGUGGCUAGGGGUGAAAGGCCAAUCAAACUUGGAGAUAGCUGGUUCUCCGCGAAAUCUAUUUAGGUAGAGCGUCGACCGAAUACCCCCGGGGGGUAGAGCACUGGAUGGGCUAUGGGGACUCACCGUCUUACUGAUCCUAACCAAACUCCGAAUACCGGGGAGUACUAGUCGGCAGACACACGGCGGGUGCUAACGUCCGUCGUGGAGAGGGCAACAACCCUGACCACCAUCUAAGGUCCCUAAGUUAUGGCUAAGUGGGAAAGGAUGUGAGGAUCCCAAAACAACCAGGAUGUUGGCUUAGAAGCAGCCAUCAUUUAAAGAAAGCGUAACAGCUCACUGGUCUAAAUAAGGGUCUUUGCGCCGAAAAUGUACCGGGGCUCAAGCCAUACACCGAAGCUGUGGAUGCACGUAUGUGCGUGGUAGCGGAGCGUUCCGUAAGCCUGUGAAGGGACAGUCGUGAGACAUCCUGGAGGUAUCGGAAGUGAGAAUGCUGACAUGAGUAACGAUAAAGGGAGUGAGAGACUCCCUCGCCGAAAGUCCAAGGGUUCCUGCUUAAAGUUAAUCUGAGCAGGGUUAGCCGGCCCCUAAGGCGAGGCCGAAAGGCGUAGUCGAUGGGAACCACGUUAAUAUUCGUGGGCCUGCAGGUAGUGACGGAUCGCGUGUGUUGUGAGGUCUUAUUGGAUUGAUCUUGCAGCGAAGCGGUUCCAGGAAAUAGCUCCUGCAUAUAGACCGUACCCUAAACCGACACUGGUGGACUGGUA
rnacentral:rRNA from 1 species